UCCCAAGUCGCUUUUUUAUUCAGCUGUCAUAAACCACCACAUAAAUACAUAGAAUAAAUACAAAACCAGUAAGGAUUACUUUUAAGCCUUUGGUAUGGAGAGCUUUUCUCCUCUUCUUAUUUCCCCCUUUCCCUGUGGUUCUAAGACCCUUUCCUCAGGUUCACAUGAUGCCUUUGGACACCAGAGCAGCCCAGAAGUAAGCCUGGUGCUGGAGGGCCUUGAAUCCAUCAGUGGACAGGCUAGGUUCUUGCAGCCUGUCGGGGUGGGGGCUCCUUGCAAUGGGGGGUGGGAUAGUGGGGUGGAGACAGCCCCCUCCCCCACAACCGGACUCACACGUAGUCGUCCAGCCUGAUGUCUUUGGAUGCUAACGCAGUCCACAAGGAAACCUGGUGCAGGCGGGACUUGAAACCAUCAGU
rnacentral:lncRNA from 1 species